AGUUAACGCUGGCAUCGUGCAUAACACAUGCAAGUCGAACGGGACUUUGCUUUGUAGCAAUACAGAGUAAAGUUUAGUGGCAGACGGGUGAGUAAUGUAUAAGAAACCUACCUCUGAGUGGGGAAUAACAGUCCGAAAGGAUUGCUAAUACCCCAUAACAUCUUUAGACGGCAUCGUUUAGAGAUCAAAGAUUUAUCGCUUGGAGACGGUCUUAUAUUCUAUCAGCUAGUUGGUGGGGUAACGGCCUACCAAGGCUACGACGGAUAGCCGGCCUGAAAGGGCGACCGGCCACAAGGGCACUGAGACACGGGCCCU
rnacentral:rRNA from 1 species